UACGGGGGGGGCAAGCGCUGUUCGGAAUUACUGGGCGUAAAGGGCUCGUAGGUGGCCAACUAAGUCAGACGUGAAAUCCCUCGGCUUAACCGGGGAACUGCGUCUGAUACUGGAUGGCUUGAGUUUGGGAGAGGGACGCGGAAUUCCAGGUGUAGCGGUGAAAUGCGUAGAUAUCUGGAGGAACACCGGUGGCGAAGGCGGCGUCCUGGACCAACACUGACACUGAGGAGCGAAAGCCAGGGGAGCAAACGGG
rnacentral:rRNA from 1 species